UGGAGAGUUUGAUCCUGGCUCAGAUUGAACGCUGGCGGCAGGCCUAACACAUGCAAGUCGAGCGGAAACGAGUUAUCUGAACCUUCGGGGRACGAUAAYGGCGUCGAGCGGCGGACGGGUGAGUAAUGCCUAGGAAAUUGCCCUGAUGUGGGGGAUAACCAUUGGAAACGAUGGCUAAUACCGCAUGAUGCCUACGGGCCAAAGAGGGGGACCUUCGGGCCUCUCGCGUCAGGAUAUGCCUAGGUGGGAUUAGCUAGUUGGUGAGGUAAGGGCUCACCAAGGCGACGAUCCCUAGCUGGUCUGAGAGGAUGAUCAGCCACACUGGAACUGAGACACGGUCCAGACUCCUACGGGAGGCAGCAGUGGGGAAUAUUGCACAAUGGGCGCAAGCCUGAUGCAGCCAUGCCGCGUGUGUGAAGAAGGCCUUCGGGUUGUAAAGCACUUUCAGUCGUGAGGAAGGUGGURKUGUUAAUAGCWSYAUCAUUUGACGUUAGCGACAGAAGAAGCACCGGCUAACUCCGUGCCAGCAGCCGCGGUA
rnacentral:rRNA from 1 species